GUGAACGGGGCUCUCAGAGAAAGCCAUCACCCCGGGCAUUAGAGCACCUUUUGUCUUUUUAUUUCUUUUUCUUUUCUGCGCCGUUACGCAGGUAAUUUUCCCAGCGGCACGCGCGGAUGCCCCGCGCCGGGAUGGAUGGAGGAAUGACGGGUUUCUCCCACCCCGGAGCCUCGGGCCGGCGGGAGCGGCUCCCGGCCGGUCCCGGCCACGGCUCCUCCUUUGUGAGCGACGCGCACGCCCUGCCCGCGCUGCGAGGGGCUCGCACCUCCAGGGGGAAAAAGGGAUUAAAGCGAUGGCCAGCUCAAAAGGGGGUUUCACUGACCGAUUUUAGGGCAGCGACAAGACCAAACCGUAAAACCCGGCUGAGAACCGAACCGCAAUCGAAAGUGGAGGUGGAAUUUUUUUUUUUUUUUAUUCCCUCAGAGACUCUGGGUUUUGUUUCAGAAACUUCAUAGGCGUAGGAGCUGGCUGCAAAGGUUGAACCAGAUCUAUUCCAAGUUUUAUCUGCCUCACAAAAGUCAUUUUGGCAGCCAAGGAACCGACAAGACCUGAAUCCAAAACCAAGCAGAAGUUCCCUGUUAGAAACUUUAGAGCAGGAAAAUGUCUAGCACUUCAAAACAAUGUAGGCUUUCAUGUGAAGCUCUUUGCAAACUUACAAAACAGUAAAAAGUUCUUGGAUUAAACCCUGUUUAUUUGCAUUGCACACCGACAGCAAGUCCAGAUUCCCGUACCCAAGGCGAAGGGCCUGCAAGGGUGUGCAAAAAUUGGCUCUAAGUGCAUAUUUGUGUAUGGCACCAACACAAAAAAGCUGUGACAAGCAACUGAAUGAAGUAAAUGCUUUUCCUACCGGAGUAGUUCAGCGAGUGCAUCUGAGGCCAUUCCUCUUCUCCUUCCUAGUUUGACAUUUUCCUGGCCCUGUAUGCUAAUGGAAACCGUCCUAAACUAGCAGGUAUCACCUGCCCCUGCAGGGAAGCAGCAUCUCCCUCUCCUAGUACUUGCCACAAGUGAAAAUUUCUGGAAACAAGUGAGAAAGCUGAGUUAAAAGGCUUUAUCUUGCACAUGGAACGCUGCUGCUGAAUGUGAUACAGACCGUCGAAAAUCUGAACCUGUUACAAAACUGCCAUUCAGCAUGGAAGCAAGUUUCUUGAGCAUCACAAUGUGUCCCCACAUUGCUCUUCUGAGGUCCUCGAUAUGAGGUUUUCCUCUUGCUGAAGACCUCACAGAUGGGGCAGUGAUUGCCAGGGGAGUAAAUUGUAGCCAAGGAAAGUGGAAUUAGCCAUAGUUAAGACAGGGCUUGUGUGUCACCGUUCCCCCUCGAAAAAUACACUCAUUUUACUUGUGAUGUGAAUUGCAGCUGCAGUUUGAAUUGCAGGACCCUCUGCACUGCACCAUGCACAACUGCAUAAUUACGGGACGGCAUGUUCUCCACUUGAUUGCAAUCUGAGCAGGGUGCUUCCUCGCAUCCCGCCAAAAUGGCCCCCAGCCAAAGCCCAUCAGCCCGCCUGGGGGAGGGAAACUGGCUCCACUGGGAGCCGAGGGCACAAUUCGCGGGGAGAAGAGCAGGAAGAAGUGCUCCCAGUUUUAAGGGUAUCACCGAAGAGUGCAGAACCAGAAGGGCAGUUGGGUAAAGGGUAGUGUUGCAAGGAACAGGACUGGAGGGCGUUGGCUCUUAUGUUAGACUGCUCACAGCCUCACAGACUGAGGGCAUGUGGUAGCCAUCAGUGAGAAGACUUUGGCUGUGUGGGGACAUCAGGAUUUUGGGGGUGGGUAACCUGGAAGCCGUUAGGCUUCAUAUGAACAGUUCUCCAAGCUGCUCCAGGAAGACGGAUGAUUAAAAGCAGCAUUAACCUUCAGCACACAUAAUCCACAACUGUUUGGACAUGGCAGCUCUUAGAAGAACAUUCUUGAUCUUAACAUCUUAUUACCUUAGGGGGAAUCAAAACACCCCAACAUAUGACCUCAUGGCAUAUGGGAUAGUAGGGAUUUUGUGCAAGCAGGGGUCCCAGCUCUGUGGCUGAGGAAGUCUUAUUCCAGUGUUUUUUCUAAAGAUAUAUUUACCUUCUUAUGUGCACCGUGUAAAGUGCACUGAGACAUUUUAAUCAGGAUUGUCAGGAGAUGUUUCUUGCCUUGGCUUGAAAAGCCUUGUCUGCAUCCGGUUUCACUGUCCAUCUUUUCCUGUCUAAUAGUUGUUAUGCUACAGAAUUUAGAUUUGAAAGCAGGAAAACUGCAUGGACAGAUGACCCAGAAACUUUCUGGAAGCACGAUCAAGGCAGACAAGUUACUUCUUUGAUUACUUUUUAUAUUUAAGUGCUUUCCUCCUCUGUUUUAUUUCUGGGUUCACGUCAACAGAGCUUUCUUCUUUAUCUAUGUCAAACAUGAUGUCUCCUACCAAGGCUGAUAUUUAAUUAUUUUCCUGUAAUAUGCAUCUGGAAGCAUUAGAUUCUUUCCUCUGUAUUAUAGUGUAUGUGAUUUGUUUUCUUGCUAUCCAACUGGAUUAUGCUUUUUUAUAGAUGGAUAUUUACUGAAGUGAGAAUCUUUUCUCCAGUUAAAUACUCUCAGUUUAAGAAAUAAUUCUCAUUUUACGUGUAAAAGGAUCUUGAAGCCAAUCCAGGCAAUACAAGGUUAUUGAUGUUUCCUCCUUUCUGAGGUGGUUUUUUUUUCCAAGUUGUUUAUGUUGUAUUAGGGAGAGCACUGCAUAGUCAAAAGGUUAUUCAUAAAUAAUGAGCAUACGGAAGUCUUGGCCUUCGGCUGAAGGGAAAAUGGAGAGAAAACAAGCCCACAGCUCCUCCUGAGGCCAGGUGUCACUGUCAACAUCUGCUCCAAAGUGCUGGCACUCAUGAUGGAUUUGCGCUUUCCAGGGAAGGCGCUCCUGAGCGUGGGGAGUCCAGACCCAUGUGGGGUGAUACUCUGACCACAGUGAAAGGCAGAAUUCCAUUUUAAGGCAAGAAAUCCCUUUAGUACAGUAAUUUGGGGAGACAUCACAAAUUUAUGGAUGCUGAAGCCACUCCAUCAUUUGAAGCUUUUCUUUGAGACCUGUACCUGGACAGUAUGCGCUGAAGAUGAAAUGUCAACUCAAUCAUUCUUCAGUGAGAUGUUGCAUUUUUUUUUCCUAAAGAUGCAUUUAAAGGGCAACUAGUUUGCAUAACAGUUUCAUAUCCUCAGUCUUGGAAAGGCUUAAGCAGCCAGGACUAUGAUCUGAAAUCUAAUAUUCUUACCUAUUGCAAUGGCAGAGGAUAGGGGGAAUUGUCAUUAAAAAAUGAUCCAAUUCUCUUUGUAAAGGAGCUGUAUAAACUGUGAAAGACACAGUUAAAAUAGUAAAUAGUGUUACAGUUUGGUAUUUUUAUUGCCUUACCCCAGGCAUUUACUGUGGGUUCUCUGUGUGAAAUGGGAUGGAAUUACUGUGAAGAUGCAUUGUUUAAAUAUUAAACAUUAAUGUUCUUCUUUUGAUGGUGAAACCAGUAUUGAAUCCGUUAAUUUUUCAUUAAAGCACCUAAAGCCAAAUUUGUUUAAACUCUCAGUGUGCUGUCUUCAUAACAGAGAACACCAAGUAAAAGCCACACAGACCUGAGAAUAAAUAGGAGCAAAAUGGGGGAGCCAGCUCCAUGCUUCCUCGCAAGGUGGAGGGGAGAUGAAGGGGAAGAAAGAAGCAGCAGGAGGAGAAGGAAGAAGAAAAGCAGCUCAGCAAAGAGAGGAUGAGGGGGAAAAAAGGAGAAUCUACACAGCAACAGCAGAAGGAUUUGAGAGAGUCAUGAACUGGUGAUCUGAGCACCAGUCACGAGCCAGCAGCUCUGGUUUCCCUCCUGGAUGCAGAAGCAGCUGAGUCUGGGCCCUGGGGCAAGGCACUCAGAGCCAGAGCCUGCACGGAUGAGAGUGGGGAACACUAACACUCCUGCUCCAGGUGUCCCAAACCCCUGGAACCGAGGCAGCGCUGGUGUAUUUGAGAGGAAGGUCUGCCUCUCCGUCUGUCAUCUUCAGAAAAAUAAGCUGUCUCCACAUCUGAAUCAGGAAAAAGUAGAACGGUCAGUCCAGAUGUCACUGUCCUAAGAAUGAGAGU